UAGGAAUAUUCGUCAAUGGGGGAAACCCUGAACGAGCAAUGCCGCGUGAAGGAAGACGGUCCUCUGGAUUGUAAACUUCUGUUGUUAGGGAAGAACGACCAUUAUAGGAAAUGAUAAUGGAGUGACGGUACCUUCAAGAAAGCUCCGGCUAACUAC
rnacentral:rRNA from 1 species